rnacentral:rRNA from 1 species
UGGUGGAGUGAUUUGUCUGCUUAAUUGCGAUAACGAACGAGACCUUAACCUGCUAAAUAGUUAGGCUAGCCUCUGGCUGGUCGUCAACUUCUUAGAGGGACUAUCAGCAUUAAGCUGAUGGAAGUUUGAGGCAAUAACA